UUUCCAAAGGCUUAGCAAAACAAGCAAAUUUCAAAAGGUUUAGCAAAACAAGCAAAUUUCAAAAGGCGCAGCAAGAAGCAGAUUUCAUACAUCAGAAAAUACUCAAAAACAAAACACUAACCACACAUCAAGAUGGUCUCAACCAACAACUCAUUCACGUGUAACAAAACAAAAUUUCAACCUUCAAUACUAUACAGCUUUGAACAGGAGAACAAACAUAAAAGGGUGAGAAAAUACCCUUUCCGGUGCUGGUGAGGAUGUACUAGUUCCCUCGUCGUCAGUUGUGGUUAGAAUUGGUUGUGCGCAGAUGUAGUACUAGUUCCCUCGUUGGUUGUGGUAAGUAGGGGUGGACAUUGGGUCGGUUCGGACGGGUUUGGGCCGAAAAACAACAACCGGCCCAAACCACAGGUGAUUGAAACAGACUCAAUGCAAUCUGCCCAUUGACUCGGUUUGAACGGUUUGCGGGUUCACGGGUUUUCGGGUAAAACGGGCCAAUUGCAUUUUUUUUCUGUGAUACCCAAUUUUUGGGCCUUUUUUUACCUAUUUUGAAGGCAAUUAUUACACC
rnacentral:lncRNA from 1 species